rnacentral:tRNA from 1 species
GGAGAGGUCGCAUAGUGGUUUAGUGCGAAGGUCUUGAAAACCUUUAUGGGGGAAACCUCAUCGGGGGUUCGAAUCCCCCCCUCUCCG